GACAGAGGGUGCAAACGUUUGCUCGGAAUUUACUGGGCGUAAAGCGCGUGUAGGCGGUUUCCGCCAGUCUGGUGUGAAAGCCCGGGGGCUCAACCCCGGAAGCGCAUUGGAUACUACGGAGCUUGAGUCCUGAAGAGGAGAGCGGAAUUUCCCGGUGUAGAGGUGAAAUUUCGUAGAUAUCGGGGAGGAACACCAGUGGCGAAGGCGGCUUUUUCUGGGCCUUUACCUGGACGCUGAGACGCGAAAAGCGCGGGGGAGCGAACGGG
rnacentral:rRNA from 1 species